GUCCUGGUUCUUGGCUUACGUAUAAUAUAUAGAUGGAACCAUUGCAUAUGAAGUUCUCAGACUCCCACAGAUCUGAGUUGAACUUUGAAACUUUAAAAUACUAGAAAGAAGACGCUAUGGGCGAGAACAUUCCUAUAAUUCAGGAAAAUGUAAUUCCUUUGAAUAGCAUCGCACUUGCUUGCUUUCAUCCUCAGUUAUCCUGACAUCCUUGGUAGGCAGGAUGUGACUAAUGCAAUGCACGGAAUCACACUUCUUAAUGGCAUUUUCGGACUGGCAGCGGCAGUACCAGCUCUCAGGUGCAAUUGGAAUGGAAAUUCUGCUAAUUGGGUCUUGAAGCUAACACCUCUCUUGGAUAAAGCGAGAUCUUCGAAAACUAUGAGAAAUAAAAUUAUCCGCUUCUACCUGUAUCAAUGAAUCAUGCCACCUACUGUCCAUUUUAAGUCACCAGGAGGCUUGUUGGCGAGGACCAGAGAGAAAUAAAUGGAAAAAAAGAAAGUAACCAAGAAAACUCUUCCCAGCCUUGGGGCUUUGGAAGAAAGAUGAGAAAGGGCCAUCUCGAAGCAAAAAUAAGCAUUUAGACUCGUUAUCUUCUUAAAAGGCUCUCAAGAAAGCAAAAGUCAUGUAAGCCAUUCCCUUAGAAAUGGCUCUUUUAAGCGCGCUACUUUCGAGUCCUCCAGAGGACGAUUUUUAUUUUAUUAUAUUUUAUUUAUAAUGCGUGGCGUUUGCUUAUUUCUACGGUAGGGGACUAGGUUUAAAAACAGCACAAUAUUUUUCUACUUUUUCCGCCCACCCAAUGUGGAAACUUCUGUGUAAGGGGGACUUUGGCACUUGACAUCAGCUCAGAAACUUCUGAGUUGGCGGGAAGUAAGGGUUAACAAGUGGUAGACCAGUCGCCGACUUUUUAGAGCCGGCUUUCGGAGGCUCCAGGUGUACGUAAACACACACACACACACACACACACACACACACACACACACCGCCCAGCUCUUUCUCCUCCAGGCGGUUACUUAGCCUAAGGGCACCAUUUGGCCUUCACGCAAAUUACUUAGCACGGAGAGUUUAUCGCGAAGAGGAAAUCCCUGUAACUCCGAGAGGAGUUGGGAUAUCUACAAAGCGUGGCCCCGGGGCUUCACCCCUGGAGGAAAGGAGGGAAUCAGGUGGUGGCCAGCAUGCGAGCACUGAGUUUCUCUGCACACGUUAGCAAUCAAGUUAAUUGAAUUCAUUGGCGUUUAGAACCGGCCUCUAGCUCAGAGAGAGCUUUGAAUGGCCAAUUUCUCUUUCUCCCUCUCCCCCUCCCCGCCUCCCGCCCGCCCCCCCGCC
rnacentral:lncRNA from 1 species